rnacentral:precursor_RNA from 14 species
GGAGUAGAAGAGCCUAUAGUGUGUAUCAGGUGUAACAGCAACUCCAUGUGGACUUGUCCGUAUUCCAGUGGAGAUGCUGUUACUUUUGAUGGGCACUUACUGACCAGUGACAAGAG